CAUGUGGAACGGGGUUUACAUCAACGUCCCGACCUUCUACAACACCGUUUUCAAGGGCAAGAUUGUCACAGACAAGGGCAGAACAACGUAUAUCGAUCCUUAUAACAGAAUAUCUACAUUCGCCUGCCGGUUUCUGAACUAGAAUCAAUCCGUAAGUCAGACAACAAGAAGAGGAGGCAUGCAAAGUUAAUAGCAGUAUCGGUUGCUGUGGGAAUUCUGAUAUCUAUCUUAUCCUGUGGAGCUAUAGUUAUAGUGAGACGACGGAGGAGAAGAGGAAGAAAAUAUGAGGAUUUAGAGUUACCUCUAUUCAGUUUCGCGACAAUAGCUGCUGCAACAGACAACUUCUCCGAGGAAAGCAUGAUUGGAGAAGGAGGUUUUGGCCCUGUUUGCAAGGGAAAAUUAUCAGCGGGCGAAGAAAUAGCAGUCAAGAGGCUGUCGGGAACGUCAAGACAAGGUCUUGAAGAGUUCAAGAACGAGGUUAUUCUGUUUGCUAAACUACAGCAUACCAACCUAGUCAGACUUUUGGGAUGUUGCAUUAAAGGAGACGAAAGGAUGCUGAUCUACGAGUACCUGCGGAAUAGAAGCCUCGAUUAUCUCCUUUUCGAUCAUAGCAGGAAAGAGAGCUCACGUGGCCUAAUUGGUACAACAUUAUUCUGGGAAUCGCGCGCGGACUACUCUAUCUCCACCGCGAUUCCAGAUUAAAGAUAAUCCACAGAGAUCUCAAUACGAGCAAUGUUUUACUGGACGAAAAUCUGAAUCCGAAGAUUUCAGAUUUUGGCCUAGCAAGGACUUUUAGAAGCGACCAUUUUAUGGCCAGAACUAGAAGAGUUGUCGGGACAUAGUAAGCUUUCUUAUCAUUCUAUUCAUGAAAUUGCGAAAUCAAUUAUCUCAUUUCCCAACACGACAACUUUGUUUAGUGGCUACAUGGCACCAGAAUAUGCAAUUGACGGGCAAUUUUCAGUGAAGUCGGACGUCUAUAGCUUUGGAGUCAUGAUACUGGAGAUAGUUGGGGGUAAAAAGAAUAGAGGAUUUAACCAUCACGUCCAUGAUCAUAGUCUUUUGGGACAUCAUUUUUGUAGGCAUGGUUGCUGUGGAAAGAUUGCAAAGUGCUAGAAUUGAUGGAUGAAAGUUUGAUUGAUACCUUUGUUGAACCUCAAGUGAAGCGGUGCAUACAAGUGGGCUUACUUUGCGUCCAGAAGCUCGCGG